rnacentral:rRNA from 1 species
GACGAACGCUGGCGGCGUGCCUAACACAUGCAAGUCGAACGGAGUGAUGAUUUCGGUUAUCACUUAGUGGCGAACGGGUGAGUAACGCGUGAGAAACCUGCCUUUCAGUGGGGGACAACAGUUGGAAACGACUGCUAAUACCGCAUAACACAUCGAUGGGGCAUCCUGUUGAUGUCAAAGAUUUAUCGCUGAAAGAUGGGCUCGCGUCUGAUUAGCUAGUUGGUGGGGUAACGGCCCACCAAGGCGACGAUCAGUAGCCGGACUGAGAGGUUGAACGGCCACAUUGGGACUGAGAUACGGCCCAG